UACGUAGGGGGCAAGCGUUGUUCGGAAUUACUGGGCGUAAAGGGUUUGUAGGUGGCUUGUUAAGUCAGACGUGAAAUCCCUCAGCUUAACUGGGGAACUGCGUCUGAUACUGGCGAGCUUGAGUGCAGGAGAGGAACGCGGAAUUCCAGGUGUAGCGGUGAAAUGCGUAGAUAUCUGGAGGAACACCGGUGGCGAAGGCGGCGUUCUGGACUGCAACUGACACUGGAGAAACGAAAGCCAGGGUAGCAAACGGG
rnacentral:rRNA from 1 species